GACGAACGCUAGCGGGAUGCCUUACACAUGCAAGUCGAACGGAGUGGCGAACGGGUGAGUAAUGUAUCGGAACGUGCCCAGUAGCGGGGGAUAACUACGAGAAAGCGUAGCUAAUACCGCAUACUAUUGGAGCGGCCGAUAUCGGAUUAGCUAGUUGGUGGGGUAACGGCUCACCACGGCGACGAUCCGUAGCUGGUUUGAGAGGACGACCAGCCACACGGGGACGGAGACACGGCCCAUACGCCUACGUGAGGCAGCAGUGGGGAAGUUUGGACAAUGGGGGAAACCCUGAUCCAGCCAUCCCGCGUGUGCUAUGAAGACCUUCGGGUUGUAAAGCACUUUUGGCAGGAAAGCGGUACCUGCAGAAUAAGCACCGGCUAACUACGUGCCAGCAGCCGCGGUAAUUC
rnacentral:rRNA from 1 species